CCUACGGGUGGCAGCAGUGAGGAAUAUUGGUCAAUGGACGAGAGCCUGAACCAGCGAAGUAGCGUGAAGGAUGACUGCCCUAUGGGUUGUAAACGUCUUUUAUAGGGGAAUAAAAUGUUCCACGUGUGGGAUUAUGUAUGUACCAUAUGAAUAAGGAACGGGUAACUCCGUGACAGCAGCCGCGGUAAGACGGAGGAUCCGAGCGUUAUCCGGAAUUAAUGGGGUUAAAGGGAGCGGUGGUGGAUUGUUAAGUCAGUUGUGAAAUUUUGCGGCUCAACCGUAAAAUUGCAGUUGAGACUGGCAGUCUUGAGUUCAGUAGAGGUAGGCGGAAUUCGUGGUGUAGCGGUGAAAUGCUUAGAUAUCACGAAGAACUCCGAUUGCGAAGGCAGUUCACUAGACUUCAACUGACGCUGAGGCUCGAAAGUGUGGGUAUCAAACAGGAUUAGAUACCCCAGUAGUC
rnacentral:rRNA from 1 species